CCCACUUCCCGGUCUGGAGAGCCGAGGCGCGCUCGGCCGCUCGGCGCUCGCCUGCUCGGGUCUGGCGGGCCCGGCAUCGCCGCCGGGAAGGGUCCGGGCUGGCGGGCCUGGCGGCUGGCGGCAUGGAGGGUCCGCGGGCCGCCGCGGGCGGGGACGUCUCCCUGCACAACUUCAGCGCGAGGCUGUGGGAGCAGCUGGUGCACUUCCACGUCAUGCGGCUGACGGACUCGCUCUUCCUGUGGGUGGGGGCCACGCCGCACCUGCGCAACCUGGCUGUGGCCAUGUGCAGCCGCUACGACUCCAUCCCUGUGUCCACCUCCCUCCUCGGAGACACUUCAGACACGACCUCCACUGGCCUUGCCCAGCGCUUAGGUACGUACCCAUGGCGGCUGCAGGAGCGGCCAGAUGGGGCCUCGCUGUGUGAUGGAAUCAUGAGGCGAGUCACUUUAGAACCAGGAAGACCAACAAGCAGGUGUUUGUCAGCUAUAACCUACAAAAUACAGACAAUAACUUCGCAUUACUUGUAGAAAACAGGAUCAAGGAAGAAAUGGAGGCAUUUCCGGAAAAGUUCUAGCUGAGGCGAAAUCUGUGGGCCAAAAGGCUGUCAUUGAUUAAGCUUUGGAAGAAGAAAAGCAAAAUGGGCAAUAGUUGCCUUGUGACUGCUCAUGAUGGAGAAAAGGGGUUCAGAUGGAAUUUUGUUGGGAAGGGGGCUAAAAAGACAAAAGGGUUAAAUUAGUUGUGACUCUGUUGUGUCCAUUCCCAGGUACAAUGGGAGAUGAUAAACUUCCCUGGCACGCCUCUCCGCUGUGCUCACCCUCGGGCCCGGGUCGGAGCCUCACUCCUCACGGCUCACUAGGCUUGUGGUCUUGGUGAAGGCUCACUCUCCUCUGGGCCCUGUUUCCUCACCUACAAAAUGGGAAUGUUCUCCACUCUGCUGGGUUAGGGUCAGGAUUAACUGCACAGAAAUACUUGGCAAACUAUAAGUGCAGUGGCAAUGAAGAUGUCAGUUAUGGCUUUAUCUAUAUGUGGAUCCAAAUGCUUGCCCUCCUGUUAACCAUUGCCCCCCCCCCCCCCCCCCCCCCAAGUCCCAAGUCCCAAGCACCUGUUUUGGUCAUCUUUAAUCCUUAGCUUUUUCUGCCUACCACUUGAAGUAGAUUCUAAUCUUUUUAGUACUGAAAGGAGUUUUUAGGGGUAAAAUAGACAAGUUUAGGGAGUUUAGGAAAUAGGGGGUCCAUGUGGGAGAAAGACAGUUGUUUGUGGGCUUGGAGCUGCCAAAAGGCAUUUAUUCACGGAGAAUGAAAGGUGCCACGGGAUAAGGGGGAAGGAAGACGUCCAUUCACAGAAGAUAGGGAGAAAGGAAACAAACUUCACAGAGGAUAGAGAAUUGCUGACAAAUGGGAGAGAAUAGAUUUUCACAGGAGAUAGAGAAUUCUAUCUGACGGAGAAAAAGAGGGUGACCCAUGUGGGUUUUGAGCUUUGAAGCUGAUAUAGUGACCAGUUGGAAGGCAGCAACAAGAAAGUACUGCAGCCUUUACAAUCCUUAGGAAAAAGGAGCUUGGUGGGCUACCCCUUUGGGAACCCCUCCCUAUGUGGGAGUUUGUACUUGUUUCCAAUAAAUUUCCACCUUUUCAUAUA